rnacentral:rRNA from 1 species
AACGAACGCUGGCGGCAGGCUUAACACAUGCAAGUCGAGCGCCCCGCAAGGGGAGCGGCAGACGGGUGAGUAACGCGUGGGAAUCUACCCAUCUCUACGGAAUAACGCAUGGAAAAGUGUGCUAAUACCGUAUACGUCCUUCGGGAGAAAGAUUUAUCGGAGAUGGAUGAGCCCGCGUUGGAUUAGCUAGUUGGUGGGGUAAAGGCCUACGAAGGCGACGAUCCAUAGCUGGUCUGAGAGGAUGAUCAGCCACACUGGGACUGAGACACGGCCCAGACUCCUACGGGAGGCAGCAGUGGGGAAUAUUGGACAAUGGGCGCAAGCCCGAUCCAGCCAUGCCGCGUGAGUGAUGAAGGCCCUAGGGUUGUAAAGCUCUUUCACCGGUGAAGAUAAUGACGGUAACCGGAGAAGAAGCCCCGGCUAACUUCGUGCCAGCCGCCGCCGUAAGAC